UUGAGGAAGUGGUAGCAAGCAGUUGGUAUCAAUUUAGAUGGGAAUUGAGAUAACAGGACAUUGAGGAAGGAAUGGAUGUUUAAAGUGUUAAGGAAUUACUGCCAAGAAUUGCCCUCCAGCCCUUUGAGUAGUACCUAUGACCUAACCAGCCCUUGAAGAUAUAACCAUUGGAAUGCUGUCCCAUUAAUUUUGCCACUUCCUAGCCUCUUGCUAUCUUUUUUGGGACACUAAAAUCUCAUUUGCCUCCCACACCCACCUUCCAUUAGAAUGUAAACACCAUGAAGUUAAGAAUUUCUCUCUUUUUUUACAGCUGACUCCUCAGUGCCCAGAAUAAUGUUUAGUAACUCUAGAUCUAAACAGUGUCUUGAAGUAUAGGCUCUUAACUUGAUGUUUAGGAUCAAUAAAUGAAAAUCAAAUAAUACUAAAUUUAGCAGGGACCUCAGAGGUCAUGCAGCCCACUAUUUCUUUACUACCUGUCUGUGGAUCUUUAAGGAAGAUUUUUUUAUUACUCUGAGUCUUAUCUCAAUGUUCAGAAUGACAGUUGGGAUUUAAUGCUUUUAUCCUCCCUUGCCUUCUCCAUUUCUCUCAUGUUUGGGAUCCAAAGUAUAUAAUUACACUAGUUUUUCAGCAUAACAUUACUGAUCUGGUCCAGUCCCCUACCUGAUGCAGAAGUCACUUAUGUGGCAUAUGGUUCUGUGGGACUCUUCUAAGAAUAAAGCACACACUGGGGGGGGGGGGGGUGUGAGAGAGAGAGAGUGUGUGUGUGUGUUUGUGUGAUCCAACAAAUAAACAGUUAUGUUGUGCUAGGCUAUGGAGGUAAUGUGAUAAAAGAUAAUUUCCCUACCCUCACAGGGCUUACAGUCUGGUAGAAUUUUACAAAGUCUCUAAACGCUUUCCCUGUCCUCUCUUUAUUCUCAAAGCUCUUUGGAAAGAAAAGGCAGACUAAUGGGAAGAAAUAAAAAAAAACAGCGGGGUUUAACUUCCAAUGAAUGAUAUUAAGGUCAAAUAUUCACUUUUUAGUUUUCAGGGCCUUCCAAUUCAAUUCAUUUCAUUCAGUGAGCACCUACUGAGCAUCUUGAGGCCUUGGCUAGAUUCUGAGGAAUGAAAGCAAAGAUAAAGCCCCUAGUCACAAGGGGGAACGUGCAAAUGUAUAAAUACUCUUCAGUGUGCUAAGUGCUACAUGUUAACUUUUCUGAGUGAUCAGUUCCAUUGGAGAGCCCUAGCUAAUAUAAAAUCCUUUUUCUUUUUUCUUUUUGGCUGCACCCUCGGCAUUUGGAAGUUCCUGGGCCAAGAUUCAAACCCAUGCCACAGCAGGAACACAAGCCACUGCAGUGAUAAUGCUGAAUCCUUAACCGACUGCACCACAAGACAACUCCCAAAUCUGCCUCUUUUAAAAUUUCUGUUAGUUGAUCCCAGUUUUGUCCUCUGAGCUCAUCAUGUAUUUAUUUGACCCAUAAACAUUUAUUGGGGAACUGCAAGUGCCAUAAUAUGCCAAGUUCUCUUCAUAGACAAAUAGGACAUGACCUUUACCCUCAAGAAGGUUAGGACAUAAUUCUGCAACAUCGAGCAAGUUGUUUAAGCUGAGUUCAGUUUCUAUCCCUAGGAAUUGAGGGUAGUAUUUAUACCUACUCCUUGGGAUUAUUGUGAGGAUUAAAUGAAUAAUGCUUUGGAUGCUCUUAUUACAGAGCCUGGUACACAGCUUUUGACAAAUGUGAGCUAUUGUUUUCCUACAUUUAAAGAGGGAUCCCAAUAAGCAAAUUAGCAGUUGCAGUGUUGAUAUGAAUGAAGUAAACACAGAGUGCUAUGGGAAUAUACCAGAGGAACACCUAAUCUUGGCUAGAGAGGCUAGGGAACAUGCUGUAGGAGGAGACAUCUGAGCUCCGCAUUGCAGGACUGAAUAGUGGGAAUGCAAAGGGUACCAGGAAAGAGGCAAGGGAAAGAGACAGGACAGCAUGGUGCAUUCAGGUUAAGUCAGUUGUUUAAGCUGGUCAGAAGACUAUUUCAAGUGAGAAUUAGGACGUAGUGACCAAUUAAAUAUAGCUGAGCCGGAGAAAAGGAAGAGAUGGUAUCAAAGGUAAUUUUUUUUUUUAAUGUUUUGUUUGGCUGCACUCAGGGAAUAUGAAAAACCCUAUCAGGGAUCGAACCUGUGCCACAGAAGUGACACCAACAGCUCCUUAACCACUAGGCCACCAGGGAACUCCCAAAGAUAAUUCUUUUCUCUUUUUUCUUUUUCAGUCUUUUUAGGGCUGCGCCUGCAGCAUAUGGAAGUUCCCAGGCUAGAGGUCAAAAUACAGCCUACACCACAGCCAUAGCAACACCAGAUCUGAGCCAUGUCUGCAGACUACACCAGAGCUCAUGGCAAUGCCAGAUCCUUAACCCACUGAGCAAAGCCAGGGAUGGAACCAGAGUCCUCAUGGACACUAGUCGGGUUCCUUACCGCUGAGCCACGAUGGGAAAUCCUUGACUUCCUUUUUAUGUCCACAGGGAAGAAUCUGGAGAAAGGGAGGGUUGAAGAUAUAGAAUAGGAUGUAAGUAGAUAAUAAAAAAGGAUUCCUGAGAGGGCAGAGGAGGUGACAUCCUGUGGAGGAAAAAAUGUCUUAAAUAGGAGGAAGGACAGCUCUUCUACCAGCUAGAGCUGUGUGGACACAGGCACAUCAAAAAGAGAGAGUGAACCUGAAUUAUUUGAUGAUGUUUCUGAGACCAAGUCAUCUUUUAAGAGUUGACAAGGGGAGAAGGGGCAGGGCUGGGGUGCAGGAGCUUGAAAAGUUCUAUUGAAAAGAGGAGACACCUAGAAAGCAUGGGAAAUGGCAGCAUUGCCUUUUGUGUCUCUAUGCUUUGUCAGUGUCUCCCUGUAGUAACUGAGGCACCCACAAGGAUCUGUACCAGCACAGUGUAAGGUGAGACUGCUGUCUCCCUUCAACUGUCAGUUCCCUUGUUUAGAAUCUUAAUCUUUUACUAAUGUAGCCUCUGAUUGCAUGAGCUAUUUUUUAAAAUAGCUCUUUCAUACUGAAAGACCAAGAAAAAGCAUUUCUCCAGCAGCCAGAGUCAGAGGAAAAAAAAUUCUCUUGGUCAUGCCGGUGGCAUGUGGAAUUUCCCGAGCCAGGGAUCACACUGUGCCAGAGCAGUGACCAGAGCUACUACAAUGACAACUAAUCCUUAACCCUCUGCACCACAAGGGAACUCCCAGAGGAAAAUUUGAGUCAGUAAUGAUUACUGUUCAAAAGAAUGUGCUACUUAAAUAAAAUUUAAAAAGUAAUUCAGAAAUUGUUCAAACUUAAAUAAAAACCCUUCUAAAUAUUUUCAACAUAGUAAGAGACACAAGCAAGAAUUAGUUGAAAAAUGAAGGUCUGGCAAAUGCUUAAAAAUGUCUAUGUAAUUCUGAGUGCAGAUGGCAUUCAAAUAAGCAUACUAUAUGGAUAUGCCAUUAUUGCCAGCUGUCAUUCACUUAGUUGGAAACUAGAUUAAACCUAUGGGUGGAUUUUGUUUUCCAAAAUAUUGUUUUAAAAUGUAUUCUUCACUAAUCAUUCUCUCUUAGUCUACACCUGGCUACUUGAUGAUCUUAUGUUAAUUUGCUCACUGCUGAAGCCAUUUGAGUUUACUCCUGCUCCACCAUGCUCUAAUAUGACCAGUCAACUAGAUCAACUGAAAGUUAUAAGCAACCAUAUUAUGUUAACCUCAGAGCUGCUUUCACUGAAUUACUAUUUUGUGUGCAAUCACUGGCUUUUAUUGAGGAAUGCAAUUUAAAAAAUCUUCAUAAUACAUGUAGUGGUAAAAAAACAUAUUUCAAAAAGAUACAUGCACCCCAAUAUUCACUGCAUCACUAUUUUCAAUAGCUAAGACAUGGAAACAACCUAAAUGUCCAUCAAGAGAUGAAUAGAUAAAGAAGGUGUGGUAUAUAGAUAUAAUGGAAUAUUACUCAGCCAUAAAAAGAACAAAAUAAUGGCAUUUGCAGCAACAUGGAGGGACCAAGAGGUUUUCAUACUGAAUGAAGUAAAAUUAAUUAUUGUUAACCAUUAAUAGGAUGGGUUUUGAAAUCUCAGUUUCUCUUUUAUAAAUAAUUUUUUUGUAUUAUUUUUAUUAGAAUAAUACAAAAAAAAUUUAUAAAACAGAAACAAACUGAGAUUUCAAAACUAAUCUUUUGGUUACCAUAUGGGAAACCAUAGAAGGGAGAGAGGAAGUGAGAGGAUGGGAUUAACAUAUACACACUAAUGUAUAAAAUAGAUAAUAAGAACCUACCAUAUAGCACAGGGAAAUCUCAAUAGUUUUUAAUAACCUAUAUGUUAUUACAUAUAAAAAGAAUGGAUAUAUGUAUAACUGAUUUACUCUGGUGUACACCUGAAAUGAAUACAACAUGGUAAGUCAACUACAUUCCAAUAAAAAUUUUUUAAAAACCAUGUAGUGGUGAUUACUGUAAGUGGGAUGAGUGUACAUUUUGAUUUUGUGGGGAGAGUUCCAGUUUACACUUAUUGUCCCAGCAUAAUAUUUAAUAGUUCCCCUUUCACGCUCAAGAAAUACUGCAGUUAUAUGAUCUCAGUGUUGUUCUUUUCAUUAUACAAUGCCCUUUCUAUGAAGUUUUUUGAGUAACUUUUGAUCCUUUUGAUGGAAAUCAGUCAUAGUUGUGCUUCUUAGCAGUUGGAUUGUUUUUUUAUUAUUUACACAUGGUGACUCAUAACUACUCAAGCAGCCCUUUUAAAGUUGACCUUAGAAAGUUUAGGGUCAAAUUUGCCACCUGCCUCAGAAGCGGCUCAAUGGUAUAUACCUUUUAAUUUUAGUCUCAUUCCUUUGUUUUUCCUUUUUGUUUCUUCUUGUUUCUUACCCCCUUACCUAUUUCUAAUUUAUAUGUUGGAUUUUAUACAUCUUUGUCAGCUAUCCUAAAUUCUUUUUGAUAGGUGGUAGUGAAUAAAGAAACACAAAACAAACAAAUAUAUUGCUUCUGGAACUUACCUAAUAUUCUUGAAUGACUGGGAAACAGCUCUUUCUUACCUUGAGUGUUUAAGGCUUCCGAUUUUUGUCUAUUUCUUUGAUCCAUGAUGUUUUGAAGAGAUUGCCAGAUGUUGAUCAAAUUUGAUACACUUUUAAGAAAUGAAGAUACUGUACUUCCAAGUUGAUCUCUGAUCAGUCUGCCACCUGAAAGCAAAGUAUAGCUGAUAACAUUUUUCAAGUGUUUCCAUCUUCUAUGAUUGCAGAUCUUGGAUAGAAAGGCAAUCCAGCUUAGUGGGGGAAAAAAAGCACACAAAAAUUUAUUAUCAGACAAACCCUAUUAUUUGCCUUCUCAAAAUCUCAGGUUUUUUACCUGUAGCUUAGAGAUAAUAUUACCUAAUUCCUAGGGUAAAUGAGGCAACAUAUAUACAGUGCCUGGCAAAUAGUUCGAUACACAGUAAAUUUUGCUUACCAUCAUUUUUGUUAUCUUCACAACUUUCAAAUCACUAGGGAUUUUACACUUAGUAAGAAUCUUGAGGAUUUUUUUCUUUUUCUUUUUCUUUUCCUUUUUAGGGCCAUACCUGCAGCAUAUGGGAGUUCCCAGGCUAGGGGUGGAAUCGGAGCUGCUGCUACUGGCAUACACCGCAGCCACAGCAACACCAGAUCCUAGGCACAUCUGCAUUCUACACCACAGCUCAUGGCAAUGCUGGAUCUUUAGCCCACUGAGCAAGGCCAGGGACUGAACCUGCAUCCUCAUAGAUACUAGUGGGAUUCUUAACCUGCUGAGCCACAGUGGGAACUCUGGGUUUUGUUUUUUUUUUCUUUUGUAACCAAAAAUGUUUUGAAAGUUAAACUUUUUAAGACUUAUUUACUGGCAGCCCAACAAGCCAGAUAUUUUUGAAAAGUCUCUCCCAUAGCUGAACACCUAGACACUGGCAUAUAUAUACAUAAAUAUAGUUUUAAAUGCAUUGUGGAGCUUUCAAGAAAGUAAGGAAAAUCUGGAGUUCCCACUGUGGUGCAACAGGUUACUUGUCUGGUGUUGGCUCUGCAGCACCUCAGGUUUGACCCCUGGCCUGGCAUAGUGGGUUAAGGCUCUGGCAUUGCCACGGUUGUUGUGUGGGUCGCAGCUGUGGUUCAGAUUCAUUCCCUAGCCCAGGAACAAACAUAUACCAUGGGUAUGGCCAAAAAAAAAAAGAAAAAGAGAGAGAGAGAGGAUGUUCCCAUUGUGGCUCAGUGGGUUACAAACCCAACUAGAAUCCAUGAGGAUGCAGCUUCAAUCCCUGGCCUCAUUGAAUGGGUUAGGGUUCUGGUGUUGAUGCAAGCUAUGGCAUAGGUCACAGAUGUGGCUUGGAUCCCGAGUUGCUGUGGCUGUGGCAUAGGCU
rnacentral:lncRNA from 1 species